GGUUUCAUCACCACGAGUUCAGCAAAGGCGCAGAGCUGGAAAGCAAGAGUGAAGGAUGCUAAUCUCUCGUUAGACUGUGUGAUCUGCUUCUUCCACCAUUCAGGUUAUCUCUGUGGCAGCAAUCGUAAAUUCCCUAAACACACUGGUGAACACAAGGCAAAGAAAAUCAGGAUGGGGUAAAGUGGGUACCAGCUCCUCCAGCUUUCUCCUGCUCCCCAAGUUCCUCAUGAUUCCAGGCAAUGAAUCAUCUCACAGUGCCUGGCCUCGUGCUCUGCAACGUCUC
rnacentral:lncRNA from 1 species